rnacentral:rRNA from 1 species
UAAUACGUAGGGGGCAAGCGUUGUCCGGAAUUAUUGGGCGUAAAGCGCGCGCAGGCGGUCAUUUAAGUUUGGUGUUUAAGCCCGGGGCUCAACCCCGGAUCGCACUGAAAACUGGGUGACUUGAGUGCGGGAGAGGAAAGUGGAAUUCCACGUGUAGCGGUGAAAUGCGUAGAGAUGUGGAGGAACACCAGUGGCGAAGGCGACUUUCUGGACCGUAACUGACGCUGAGGCGCGAAAGCGUGGGGAGCAAACAGGAUUAGAUACCCUGGUAGUCCACGCCGUAAACGAUGAGUGCUAGGUGUUAGGGGUUUCGAUACCCUUGGUGCCGAAGUAAACACAGUAAGCACUCCGCCUGGGGAGUACGCUCGCAAGAGUGAA